AAUUGAAUUUUUAAAACGGAGAUCGCGAAUUUAAUUUUUCAGAAUAUAUUUCAGUCUCUGAGGACUGAGGGUGCUGCAAGAGUUUAACUCGACUCCUCCUGUCGACUCCGCAGCUACCGUGAAGCUUUGGCCACAAAUAGUGUUCGUCGAGAGAUUGUUUGACGGGCAGAUCGCUGAGAUUGUGUACGAAGGCGACAACAUCCACCCGAAGUCUCAGCCUCCGAAGCGACGACUCUCGUCGGGUUCGCAGGAGCAGGCCUUCGUAGCCGACGAGAAUAGCCAGAUCAGAGACAGGCAAUCUGCAGUCAUGGAGUACUACUGAUUCGCUGCUGCUAGAGGUAAACCCCAAGGGAUUGUCCUCCUGCAGGAUUCCAAUGCCUUCUUAAUUACCGAUAACUUUGAGUUCAGUAAUCAAGAUCGGACUAAUUCAUAUUAGCCGAAAAACCUUCCCUUCCUCUAUUCAAGCAGGGAACUCCAAAUCUCAGUUCAUCCUCCAUUCCAACAAGCUGUGGGCUCAAAUCUCAAUAAACAGAGCAACGACGCAGAGAGACGCCGUUCGACAGACGGCCCCAAUAAUCCAGAGCUUAUUCUCCCUCUCUCGAAGAAAAUUAUUGUAUAUGAGGAGAAUGAUAGUCAAGAUGAGGAAUUGUGCUCCCUAUGCCGUCGUUGGCUGCCUUCUUCCUCUUCUAUCUACUCGCGCUGGAUCUGCCCUGUCAAUAUCACAAUCAAAAUCUCGACGGCGUGGCCAUGUUCAUGAUUUUAGGUUGGAAAAGCUUGUUACAGAUAACAAAAUGUCCAUGCCGACACGAGUAGUAGGGACUUUUGGAUAUCUUGCUCGCAACCACUGGAAAAGUAUCCACGAAGGUUGAUGUCUACGCAUUCGGUGUUAUAUUAAUGGAGAUAAUUAUCGGAAAAAAAGUACUGGAUGAGUCAUUCCUUCCUAAGAGUUUACUCAAGAGAAAAAUAAAAUUUUAAAUUCCAUGUUGGACCGAGUCCUUGAACUUGACGAUGAGACUCAGAAGAGUCUAAUGGAAGUUGCAGACUUGGCUUGACACUGCACAUGCAGCGAACGCUAUCAAAGGUCUUAUAUGAGCCACAUAGUCAAUAAACUUGCUCCUUUAGUAGAGGUAUGCCAAUCUAAUACAACCUGUGAUGUGGACAAUGACGAUGGCUCAAUUUAUAGUCUAACUAAAAUACUCGAGAGAUGGCAAUAUGAUACCACUAUGACUGGGUGAUUUGGUUGUUAUUGAUGUUGAAAGAAGUUUUGGGAUAAAAUGCACCUGUUUUUGACAAAAAAACAUAGCGGAAGCGAAACCCUUUGUACAAGGAGAAUGAUGGUCAAGACGAGGAAUUGCACUCCUUAUGCUGCUGUCGGUCACCUUCUUCCUCUUUUGUCUACUUGCAUUGGAUCUGCCCUGUCAAAAUCUCAAUGGCACAGCCAUGUUCGAACUGGCACGGUCACUCUUCGAGGUUCCUUCCACCUGGGACGACGUUAUUUGCUCCGGCCGCGUCAACAAAUGAAAUGUAUAUGAGAAAUUAUCUAAGUUUCAUAUAUAGUCAAAUACUCUGGUACUCAUUUCUAGAUUAUCCCUUCUUAGAAAACAUUUUCAAAUCAUAUGUACUCGUUGAAGAGAAGACUACGGAUGAGCUAAAGGUUCCAUUCGACAAGAUUAUAAGUUUCACGUA